rnacentral:rRNA from 1 species
AGCUACAGGCUUAACACAUGCAAGGUCGAGGGGCAGCGGGGAGGAUGCUCGCAUUCGUCCGCCGGCGACCGGCGCACGGGUGAGUAACGCGUAUCGAACCUGCCUCAUACCCGGGGACAGCCUUGCGAAAGCAAGAUUAAUGCCCGAUGUUCCGCGUUUGCCGCAUGGCAAAUUCGGCAAAGAUUUAUUGGUAAAGGAUGGCGAUGCGUCCCAUUAGUUAGUUGGCGGGGUAACGGCCCACCAAGACGACGAUGGGUAGGGGUUCUGAGAGGAAGGUCCCCCACAUUGGAACUGAGACACGGUCCAAACUCCUACGGGAGGCAGCAGUGAGGAAUAUUGGUCAAUGGGCGGAAGCCUGAACCAGCCAAGUAGCGUGCAGGAAGACGGCCCUAUGGGUUGUAAACUGCUUUCAGUCGGGAAUAAUUCGUCGGUCGUGACCGGCGUUGCAGGUACCGUCAUAAGAAGGACCGGCUAAUUCCGUG